UACGUAGGGCGCAAGCGUUAUCCGGAAUUAUUGGGCGUAAAGAGCUCGUAGGCGGUUUGUCGCGUCUGCCGUGAAAACUCGGGGCUUAACCCCGGGCCUGCAGUGGGUACGGGCAGACUAGAGUGCGGUAGGGGAGACUGGAAUUCCUGGUGUAGCGGUGAAAUGCGCAGAUAUCAGGAGGAACACCGAUGGCGAAGGCGGCAUCCUGGACCGGCAUUGACGCUGAGGAGCGAAAGCCAGGGGAGCAAACGGG
rnacentral:rRNA from 1 species